rnacentral:rRNA from 1 species
UUAAGCGACUAAGCGUACACGGUGGAUGCCCUGGCAGUCAGAGGCGAUGAAGGACGUGCUAAUCUGCGAAAAGCGUCGGUAAGGUGAUAUGAACCGUUAUAGCCGGCGAUGUCCGAAUGGGGAAACCCAGUGUGAUUCGUCACACUAUCGUUAACUGAAUACAUAGGUUAACGAGGCGAACCGGGGGAACUGAAACAUCUAAGUACCCCGAGGAAAAGAAAUCAACCGAGAUUCCCCCAGUAGCGGCGAGCGAACGGGGAGCAGCCCAGAGUCUGAAUCAGCUUGUGUGUUAGUGGAACGGUCUGGAAAGUCCGACGGUACAGGGUGAUAGUCCCGUACACCAAAAUGCACAGGCUGUGAACUCGAAGAGUAGGGCGGGACACGUGGUAUCCUGUCUGAAUAUGGGGGGACCAUCCUCCAAGGCUAAAUACUCCUGACUGACCGAUAGUGAACCAGUACCGUGAGGGAAAGGCGAAAAGAACCCCGGCGAGGGGAGUGAAAAAGAACCUGAAACCGUGUACGUACAAGCAGUGGGAGCACCUUCGGGUGUGACUGCGUACCUUUUGUAUAAUGGGUCAGCGACUUAUAUUCUGUAGCAAGGUUAACCGUAUAGGGGAGCCGCAGGGAAACCGAGUCUUAACUGGGCGUUAAGUUGCAGGGUAUAGACCCGAAACCCGGUGAUCUAGCCAUGGGCAGGUUGAAGGUUGGGUAACACUAACUGGAGGACCGAACCGACUAAUGUUGAAAAAUUAGCGGAUGACUUGUGGCUGGGGGUGAAAGGCCAAUCAAACCGGGAGAUAGCUGGUUCUCCCCGAAAGCUAUUUAGGUAGCGCCUCGUGAAUUCAUCUUCGGGGGUAGAGCACUGUUUCGGCUAGGGGGUCAUCCCGACUUACCAACCCGAUGCAAACUACGAAUACCGAAGAAUGUUAUCACGGGAGACACACGGCGGGUGCUAACGUCCGUCGUGAAGAGGGAAACAACCCAGACCGCCAGCUAAGGUCCCAAAGUCAUGGUUAAGUGGGAAACGAUGUGGGAAGGCACAGACAGCCAGGAUGUUGGCUUAGAAGCAGCCAUCAUUUAAAGAAAGCGUAAUAGCUCACUGGUCGAGUCGGCCUGCGCGGAAGAUGUAACGGGGCUAAACCAUGCACCGAAGCUGCGGCAGCGACACUAUGUGUUGUUGGGUAGGGGAGCGUUCUGUAAGCCUGCGAAGGUGUGCUGUGAGGCAUGCUGGAGGUAUCAGAAGUGCGAAUGCUGACAUAAGUAACGAUAAAGCGGGUGAAAAGCCCGCUCGCCGGAAGACCAAGGGUUCCUGUCCAACGUUAAUCGGGGCAGGGUGAGUCGACCCCUAAGGCGAGGCCGAAAGGCGUAGUCGAUGGGAAACAGGUUAAUAUUCCUGUACUUGGUGUUACUGCGAAGGGGGGACGGAGAAGGCUAUGUUAGCCGGGCGACGGUUGUCCCGGUUUAAGCAUGUAGGCUGGUUGUCCAGGCAAAUCCGGAUAAUCAAGGCUGAGGUGUGAUGACGAGGUACUACGGUGCUGAAGUAACAAAUGCCCUGCUUCCAGGAAAAGCCUCUAAGCAUCAGGUAACAUCAAAUCGUACCCCAAACCGACACAGGUGGUCAGGUAGAGAAUACCAAGGCGCUUGAGAGAACUCGGGUGAAGGAACUAGGCAAAAUGGUGCCGUAACUUCGGGAGAAGGCACGCUGGUGUGUAGGUGAAGUCCCUGCGGAUGGAGCUGAGACCAGUCGAAGAUACCAGCUGGCUGCAACUGUUUAUUAAAAACACAGCACUGUGCAAACACGAAAGUGGACGUAUACGGUGUGACGCCUGCCCGGUGCCGGAAGGUUAAUUGAUGGGGUUAUCCGUAAGGAGAAGCUCUUGAUCGAAGCCCCGGUAAACGGCGGCCGUAACUAUAACGGUCCUAAGGUAGCGAAAUUCCUUGUCGGGUAAGUUCCGACCUGCACGAAUGGCGUAAUGAUGGCCAGGCUGUCUCCACCCGAGACUCAGUGAAAUUGAACUCGCUGUGAAGAUGCAGUGUACCCGCGGCAAGACGGAAAGACCCCGUGAACCUUUACUAUAGCUUGACACUGAACAUUGAGCCUUGAUGUGUAGGAUAGGUGGGAGGCUUUGAAGCGUGGACGCCAGUCUGCGUGGAGCCAACCUUGAAAUACCACCCUUUAAUGUUUGAUGUUCUAACGUUGGCCCCUUACCGGGGUUGCGGACAGUGUCUGGUGGGUAGUUUGACUGGGGCGGUCUCCUCCCAAAGCGUAACGGAGGAGCACGAAGGUUAGCUAAUCCUGGUCGGACAUCAGGAGGUUAGUGCAAUGGCAUAAGCUAGCUUGACUGCGAGCGUGACGGCGCGAGCAGGUGCGAAAGCAGGUCAUAGUGAUCCGGUGGUUCUGAAUGGAAGGGCCAUCGCUCAACGGAUAAAAGGUACUCCGGGGAUAACAGGCUGAUACCGCCCAAGAGUUCAUAUCGACGGCGGUGUUUGGCACCUCGAUGUCGGCUCAUCACAUCCUGGGGCUGAAGUAGGUCCCAAGGGUAUGGCUGUUCGCCAUUUAAAGUGGUACGCGAGCUGGGUUUAGAACGUCGUGAGACAGUUCGGUCCCUAUCUGCCGUGGGCGCUGGAGAAUUGAGGGGGGCUGCUCCUAGUACGAGAGGACCGGAGUGGACGCAUCACUGGUGUUCGGGUUGUCAUGCCAAUGGCACUGCCCGGUAGCUAAAUGCGGAAGAGAUAAGUGCUGAAAGCAUCUAAGCACGAAACUUGCCCCGAGAUGAGUUCUCCCUGAGACUUUAAGUCUCCUGAAGGAACGUUAAAGACGAUGACGUUGAUAGGCCGGGUGUGUAAGCGCAGCGAUGCGUUGAGCUAACCGGUACUAAUGAACCGUGAGGCUUAACCU